AGCGAACGCUGGCGGCAGGCCUAACACAUGCAAGUCGAACGGAUCCUUCGGGAUUAGUGGCGGACGGGUGAGUAACACGUGGGAACGUGCCCUUUGGUUCGGAACAACUCAGGGAAACUUGAGCUAAUACCGGAUGUGCCCUUCGGGGGAAAGAUUUAUCGCCAUUGGAGCGGCCCGCGUAGGAUUAGCUAGUUGGUGGGGUAAAGGCUCACCAAGGCUACGAUCCUUAGCUGGUCUGAGAGGAUGAUCAGCCACAUUGGGACUGAGACACGGCCCAAACUCCUACGGGAGGCAGCAGUGGGGAAUCUUGCGCAAUGGGCGAAAGCCUGACGCAGCCAUGCCGCGUGAAUGAUGAAGGUCUUAGGAUUGUAAAAUUCUUUCACCGGGGACGAUAAUGACGGUACCCGGAGAAGAAGCCCCGGCUAACUUCGUGCCAGCCGCCGCCGUAACAC
rnacentral:rRNA from 1 species